CGCUUGUGCAGCUGACCUCCUUCUGCCAGCUGUGUACUUCUAGAAGCAUUGUCAUCCACUUGUGCUGUUUCUUUGCACCUCGUAGUCUCGCUGAAAUAUCCUCCACAUUCCUUACCUGCCCUUCUCAGCUAUGCAAGGAAAGUACCUGCUUAUGUGUUUCGUACUAACUGUGGACGCCACCCCGUCAUCUAUACGUUACAUUUCAUGUGCAUCAAGGAUUGAUCAGUGCCAAUGGCCGAAACGACCAAACUGCCUCAUAAGAAACGGUUUUCCCAUUCCCUUCUUCAAAUGCUCCUCAAAAUAUAGCAAUUGUAAAUACUCCUGGCAUGAACUUUGCGAAGGUUACGCAAAUAUCACUUGCUCUGAUGGGAGGACGUACUGUGACUGCCGUUGUGAGGUUUCGCCCUGUUUGUCUUCCCAAAGGCAACAAAAACUGCAUCAACGUCGACAGCGCUCGUCAUCUGAAGGACCCCAACCCCCCGUUGUUGUUUAGUAGCUAUGGUGCUCGGCUGCUAAGCACGAGGAUCGCGGGAUCGAAUCCGGCCAUGGCGCGGCCGCAUUUCAAUGGGGGCGAAAUGCGAAAGCAUCCGUGUACUUAUAUUUAAGUGCACGUUGAAGUACCCCAGGUGGUCGCCAGAAAUAAUUCCGGAGUCCCCCACUACGGCGUGCCUCAUAAUCAGAUCGUGAUUUUGGCACGUAAUACCCCAUAAUUUUAAGGAAGGCCCUAAAUGUCUGGACAUUUAGUGGGGCUCACGGUGCAUGGUGUGCCGCAAUUCCAAUGUACCUUACUGUAUAUUUUAGCUAGCAAUAAAGGUUUCUAUACAAGUGUUAUCAUGCUCAAAUUUGUGGACCCGCGAAUCACAGUAAUAUGGGCCUUAACAAGGCAGCGUACUUUUAUCAAAAAGGAAAUGCUUUUGUUCCACUGAGUUGCAGGUAUCACGUUACGUCAAUUGGGUAAGUCCAGGUAAAUUAACGCUGCGUAUAGUCGCCGGAACAUACAUUUUGACUCCUCAGCCUUAAAUAUUCAUGCAAGGCUGCUGCAAGCUCUCCUUUGGUCUUUUAACGAACGAAAUGGAACGCUGCCUCUC